rnacentral:rRNA from 1 species
UACAGAGGUCCCAAGCGUUGUUCGGAUUCAUUGGGCGUAAAGGGUGCGUAGGCGGCGCGGUAAGUCGGGUGUGAAAUCUCGGAGCUUAACUCCGAAACUGCAUUCGAUACUGCCGUGCUUGAGGACUGGAGAGGAGACUGGAAUUUACGGUGUAGCGGUGAAAUGCGCAGAUAUCAGGAGGAACACCAAUGGCGAAGGCAGCUCGCUGGAACGGAACUGACGCUGAGGCGCGAAAGCGUGGGGAGCGAACAGG